AGUGACGUCACUGUUGGAGAGCCAUAUAGCACACCGUGAUUGGUGGAUUCCUUCAGCUCCGCCCACAACGCUGUCAAGCACCAUUCAUAUCAAACUCUCACUAACAUUCAACUUUCAUAUUAGCGUGGGAGCCGCAAAAUAAGAUCUCACGUGUCUGAGACCCUGGUCUAAUAUAUAUAUAGAUGUGUCAGAAGUGCUACUGACACUUUGAUCAUGUUUGCUUUUCCUGUCUUUGAAAUCACUUCCUGUCCUGCUGCUCUUAUUUUCUCACUGUUUCCUGUUUGCUCUCUGUCUUUUGUGGCACCUUUACUCUCUGCUCCGUGUCUGCACACCUGUUCCUCGUUUAAUUAGUUGUAUUUAGUUCCACCUGAGUCCCUCCUUCACUGCUUCAUCAUUAUUCUUUUUUGACGGAUGUGGAUCGGACGGGUUUUAUUCGCAACAGACGAUCCCUCUGGACUGGACCAUUUGAAGGACUGCUUGCAGGACAUAAAAAAGUGGAUGUCAAAAUUUCCUGCAGCUCAAUGACAGAGUGAAAUUCUUCUGUUCGGGAACUCCAACCCCCCAACUGUGCACAAUAGCCAAGAUCAAGUAUGUCCUCUCCCCCAGUGACUUAGAGGGUCGUGUUCAUGCUCAUCUUCUGCAGACUGGACUAAUGGAAUGCCCUCUAUGCUGGGGUCACUAACAAGACCAUAUAUAGCAUGCAGUUGCUACAAAAUGCUGGUGACAGGCACAAAAAUGAGGGAACACAUUUCUCCCAUCCUCUCCUCCCUUCACUGGCUCCUGGUGAAGCACAGAGUGAAAUUUAAGAUCCUUACGUAUGUCUUCAAAGCGCUCCGUGGUCUUGCCCCAGCUUACAUCAAACAUCUCCUGGACCAACCUAUCAGCUCCAGGCUUGGUCGUUGCCUCAGAUCUGACAACCAGAUGACCUUGAAGGUCCCACAGUCAAACCUAGUGACAAAGAGAGACUGUGCAUUUUCAAUGAUGGUACCUGGCCUAUGGAAUAAGCUCCCCCUGAAAGUCAAGUCCGCCACCACUCUGGACACUUUUAGAGCACAGCUUAAAACUCACCUCUUUGCCGCAAAUGACUUGAUUUGUGUUCAUGUGUCUUAAAUGUUUGUUCUAAAUUCCUUUUGUGUCCCUGUUUUUUUUUUUGUUUCUCCACUCAGGCUGCACCCCAGGCUGAUGUAAUGGUUCCUUGUGUGGGUGCAAUAAUUGAAAAUAACUAAACUUUUUUUU